rnacentral:misc_RNA from 1 species
CGAAUGAAUCAAGUAGAGAUAGGCAAGCUUAGCAUGCUAAAAGAGUUCAAAUGGCUUAUAUUGAUUCAAGUGUUCAAGAACGGAGUUGAUAAGCUUGGGAUACUUAAAGAAUUUAAAAGGAUCAUAUUGGUUCAAUUAUGCAAGGAUGGAGAUCACCAUGUGCAAGGCUAAGCAAAAUUACCUUUUAAGUGCCAAAAUUACCAAAUUUCUCCAAAAUCUUCAAGAAGCCGCAAGUUUCACGGCCUGGGUGUGACCACGUCAUGAAGAACACUUCGAAAUUCUACUCGUCAAG